UUUUUUUUUUUUUUUUUUUUUUUUUGUCUCUGAGAUUGAGAGAGAGCACAACUAUUCUUUGAAACAGCUGUAACAGUGAGAUUUUGCUUAUUGGUUUACUUAUGAAAAUAAUGUAAUUUGUAAUUGCAGUUAGACUAUAUCAUAGAUCUGUGUUUUCAACAAAAUAUAUGCUGAUGUUGUAUCACUGAAUCAAAGAGGGAAUUAAGGAAGUUUGGCUACAGAUCUGUCCAUAGCAGCAACGUAGACCUAGCAGACAAUAGCCCAAGGGGGAUUUGUAGAAGAUGGCAGGUGGUGCUGAGGACCUGACAGGUACACUGUGCAUAUUUCAGUGCUCCUCCCUGGAACCAGACUUGUCCUUUUUCCAUGGGGGCAUAGAGCACUCCAGUGGUACUUUGGAAAUUUAUUGCCUUGCUUAAAUUCAUCCGGAAGGUAUCCAGACUGUGUACUCUGAGACUGCUCUACACUGAGAGUGAAAACAGAGGAAGUAGGGAUAAUUAAGAAAUAUGUUUCAAAAGAACACCAAGGGGUUAUCUUGAAUGAUUUCCAAGAUAUCCACUUUACUCAAUUUGAAUAAACUCUGUUAGAAAAACUCCUUAAUAAUCACAGGUAUUUUACAAACUGACCAUUCGUGAGACUCCUCGAUCUUCACAUUCAGGUUGUACGCCAAGUGAUGAAUUUGUUCUUUUGAGGGGGAAGUAUGACAGCUGAAUGCCUGCUCACAGUGUGCAGUCACUGGUAGCUUUUCAGACAAAUCAGACAUGCUAUAGCUCCUCUCAGUUCACCAGCAUACUUGUCACAGAGUAUUUAAUUUUUAUUUUUCAGAUUUUAAUAAGUAUCGUAUUUAUUAUGCCAUACAUGCUUUAAAGCUAUUAAAAAAAAAAAAAAAAACAAAAACAAAGAACACAGCAUUUUGCUUACCUGCAGAAUCUCUACCUUCAGAGAUGAUAGCAUAUUACUUUUUGUGUACUCUACAUUCAUAUCCUGAGUAUGUGGUGUCUAUACCCUUUACAAAUUUCAGAACUAACAGCAAAAUUGUGCUACUUCAGUCUUCUUAAUAAAGAUAUGAGAUUUGGUAUAGGAUUUAGAUUUCUGAUUCAUUUACAUUUAACUAAUUUACAUCAAAAUUAAGAAUAUAUUCAUAUUAUAACAAACAGAGAUUAUGGUCAUCAGGACAUAAACAGUAUUACUCCUACUUGUAUAAUAGAGAUUGAACAGUGGAAUUACUAAAUAAAAAUAAUGUUUGUGGAUGUAACAAAGUCUGUUCUUUUUCUUUUUUUUUUCUUCCUUUUUUUUUUUUUUUUUUUAACCUCUUCAUAUUAGGUACGCAACCAUCUCUCUGAUUUACAGUCUAUUCUGAGUUCAUUUAAGUUUUAUAAUUUGUUUCAUUUGUUUGAUUGGAUACGUUUUAUAAAGAAAGUCAUUCAGAAGCACAAAAAGUGUUACUGAAGUAUGCUGUUGUGACAAAAUGCUAAACAAAUUACAAAUACCCUUUGAAUUGCAACUCCACUGACAUUCUAGUAGAUUUAACACAACUGUCCAGAUUUUAUGAAACUAGAUACAUCAGCGUCUUUUUAUCUCAGUACAUUGAAGGCCAGUAGAAAAUCCUCUUUAGCUCUGGUGAACAUUGAAUUUAUACCUAUACAAAAAGAUUGAGCUAUUUGGUAAGUCUCUGUAGCAUUUUAAAAUAAUUUUCAGUAUUUUCUGUUAGAUAGAAUAAGGAAUCAAAAUUUUUGAGUACUAUUUCUGUAUUUUUAUUAAUUUCCUGUAUAACUUGCUUAUGUCCUAUUUUCUGUACUCAGUCUGCCUAUCUGUCAAUAAGUCAUAAAUUGCCACUUACCUCAGAGACAUUACAUAAGGGUUAAUUAAGGUUUCUGUGAUGCUUUGAAAUGAAGUCUAGAAUAAAUAUUUUGGAGGGUGGAAUACCUUCAUUACUACCACUGUAAUAAUACAACAAUACAAUUAUAUAAUAAAACAUUAGAUUGC
ensembl:lncRNA